rnacentral:rRNA from 1 species
GUGCCAGCGUUAUCCGGAUUCACUGGGUUUAAAGGGUGCGUAGGAGGGCAGGUAAGUCCGUGGUGAAAUCUCCAAGCUUAACUUGGAAACUGCCGUUGAUACUAUCUGUCUUGAAUACCGUGGAGGUGAGCGGAAUAUGUCAUGUAGCGGUGAAAUGCUUAGAUAUGACAUAGAACACCAAUUGCGAAGGCAGCUCGCUACACGAAUAUUGACUCUGAGGCGCGAAAGCUAGGGGAGCAAACGGG